rnacentral:rRNA from 1 species
AUUGAACGCUGGCGGCAUGCCUUACACAUGCAAGUCGAACGGUAACGCGGGGCAACCCUGGCGACGAGUGGCGAACGGGUGAGUAAUACAUCGGAACAUAUCCAGUAGCGGGGAUAACCUAAUCGAAAGAUUGGCUAAUACCGCAUACGAUCUACGGAUGAAAGCAGGGGACCGCAAGGCCUUGCACUAUUGGAGUGGCCGAUGUCAGAUUAGCUAGUUGGUGGGGUAAAAGCCUACCAAGGCGACGAUCUGUAGCUGGUCUGAGAGGACGAUCAGCCACACUGGAACUGAGACACGGUCCAGAACUCCUA